UCAAUAGAAACCAAAUAGAGGUCUAUUAUUGUUAAUAAUAUAAAUGAAACUUAUUCUCCUAUUGAA
rnacentral:tRNA from 1 species